ACGGGGGGAGCAAGCGUUGUUCGGAUUUACUGGGCGUAAAGGGCGUGUAGGCGGUUCGGUAAGUGGGAUGUGAAAUGCUCCGGCUCACCCGGGGACCUGCAUCCCAAACUGCUGAGCUUGAGUACAGGAGAGGGUGGGGGAAUUCCAGGUGUAGCGGUGAAAUGCGUAGAUAUCUGGAGGAACACCGGUGGCGAAGGCGCCCACCUGGCCUGCUACUGACGCUGAGGCGCGAAAGCUAGGGGAGCAAACGGGA
rnacentral:rRNA from 1 species